CAAAAAGUAGCUUAAAACAAAGCAUUCAACUUACAAUUGAAAAAUGUUAGAAUAAAACUAACCUUUUUGC
rnacentral:tRNA from 1 species